rnacentral:rRNA from 1 species
AUUGAACGCUGGCGGCAGGCCUAACACAUGCAAGUCGAACGGUAACAGGAAUCAGCUUGCUGAUUCGCUGACGAGUGGCGGACGGGUGAGUAAUGUCUGGGAAACUGCCUGAUGGAGGGGGAUAACUACUGGAAACGGUAGCUAAUACCGCAUAACGUCGCAAGACCAAAGAGGGGGACCUUCGGGCCUCUUGCCAUCGGAUGUGCCCAGAUGGGAUUAUCUUGUUGGUGGGUAACGGCUCACCAAAGCGACGAUCCCUAGCUGGUAUGAGAGGAUGACCAGCCACAGUAGAACUGAGACACGGUCCAGACUCCUACGGGAGGCAGCAGUGGGGAAUAUUGCACAAUGGGCGCAAGCCUGAUGCAGCCAUGCCGCGUGGAUGGAGAAGGCCUUCGGGUUGUAAAGUACUUUCAGCGGGGAGGAAGGGCGUAAAGUUAAUACCUUUACUCAUUGACGUUACCCGCAGAAGAAGCACCGGCUAACUCCGUGCCAGCCGCCGCGGUAA